UAGGGAAUCUUCCACAAUGGGCGCAAGCCUGAUGGAGCAACACCGCGUGAGUGAAGAAGGGUUUCGGCUCGUAAAGCUCUGUUAGUUAAAGAAGAACACGUAUGAGAGUAACUAUUCAUACGUUGACGGUAUUUAACCAGAAAGUCACGGCUAACUACGUACCAG
rnacentral:rRNA from 1 species